UAGUCAUAUGCUUGUCUCAAAGAUUAACCCAUGCAUGUGGAAGCAUAAGCUUCGUAUCCGCAAAGCUGCGAAUGGCUCAUUAAAUCUGCGCUAAUCUGUCCAGGAGUCACUUAGAUGGAUAAUUGUGCUAAUUGUGCAACUAAUACGUGCUGAAUCCUAUGUUUAAUAGGGCACUUAUUAGAUUCAGAACCAUCCCGCGCUAGCGGAAUCCAUUUGGACGUUGACAAUAAGGUUGCAUACCGUGAUUUUUUCACUGGUAUCUUGGGUGAAGCGCAGCCCUAUCAGUUGCGGACGGUAAGGUCUUGGCUUACCGUGGCAUUUACGGGUGACGGGGAAUUUGGGUUCGAUUCCGGAGAGGGAGCCUGAAAAACGGCUACCACAUCUAAGGAUGGCAGCAGGCGCGCAAAUUACCCAAUCUUAACCGAAGGAGGUAGUGACGAGCAAUAACAGCGUGCGACUUUUGUUGCACGACUGGAAUGAAACGAGCUUAAAACACUUGUUUAGAAUCAAUU
rnacentral:rRNA from 1 species